rnacentral:rRNA from 1 species
AAUACAUAGCUUAAUGAGGGGAACUCAGGGAACUGAAACAUCUAAGUACCUGAAGGAAGAGAAAGAAAUUCGAUUCCGUAAGUAGCGGCGAGCGAACGCGGAUUAGCCCAAACCAAUAAAGUUUUCUUUAUUGGGGUUGCGGACAUAUCAUAACGAAGAGGUAUCGUAAUUGAAGAGGUUUGGAAAGACCCACCACAGAAGGUAAUAGUCCUGUAUGUUAAACGAGAAGACUGUAGAUAUGAUCCAGAGUACCACGGGACACGUGAAACCCUGUGGGUAGCAAGAGGGACCGCCCUCUACGGCUAAAUACUACCUAGU